rnacentral:rRNA from 1 species
AGGGCAUACGGUGGAUGCCUUGGCGCCAUACGCCGAUGAAGGACGCGAUAAGCUGCGAAAAGCCACGGGGAACUGCAAAUAAGUAUCGAUCCGUGGAUGUCCGAAUGGGGAAACCCGGCAGCCGUAAUGGGCUGUCACCCUCGUAAGAGGGAGGGAACCCGGUGAACUGAAACAUCUAAGUAGCCGGAGGAAGAGAAAUCAAACGAGAUGCCCCCAGUAGCGGCGAGCGAAGCGGGCAGAGCCCAAACCGAAGGUCUUCGGGCCUUCGGGGUUGUGGACCGGCAGAAUCGAGCAAGUUGUUAGCCGAAUCCUCUGGAAAGAGGAGCGAGAGAGGGUAAUAGCCCCGUAGGCGAAAACGACGCGCAAGAGGCCGAGAUCCGGAGUACCACGGAGCACGAGGAAUUCUGUGGGAAGCAGGGGGGACCACCCUCCAAGGCUAAAGACGAAAUGGCGACCGAUAGCGCAUAGUACCAUGAGGGAAAGGUGAAAAGAACCCCGGGAGGGGAGUGAAAGAGAACCUGAAACCGUAUGUCUACAAGCAGUCGGAGCGAAAGCGACGGCGUGCCUAUUGAAGAAUGAGCCAACGAGUUACGUGUGCCGGCAAGGUUAAGCAGAAGAUGCGGAGCCGUAGGGAAACCGAGUCUGAAGAGGGCGAGGAGUCGGUAUAGGUAGACCCGAAACUGUAGUGAUCUACGCAUGGCCAGAUUGAAACGCAGGUAAAAAUGCGCGGAGGAUCGAACCGGGACAUGUUGAAAAAUGUUCGGAUGAGCUGUGCGUAGGGGUGAAAUUCCAAUCGAACGCAGAGAUAGCUGGUUCUCCUCGAAAUAGCUUUAGGGCUAGCCUCAGGCAGUAAGCAUAGGCGGUAGAGCACUGAUCGGGUACGGGGCCGUAAAGGUUACCAACCCCUGUCAAACUCCGAAUGGUUAUGCUGCAAAGCCUGGGAGUCAGACUACGAGUGAUAAGAUCCGUGGUCAAAAGGGAAACAGCCCAGACCAUCAGCUAAGGUCCCCAAUGCCGUACUAAGUGGAAAAGGAUGUGGGGCUUCAUAAACAACCAGGAUGUUGGCUCAGAAGCAGCCACCAUUUAAAGAGUGCGUAAUAGCUCACUGGUCGAGAGGCCCCGCGCCGAAGAUUCCCGGGGCUAAAGUACGGAACCGAAGCUAUGGAUGCGGUGUAAGCCGCGUGGUAGAGGAGCGUUCUCAUCGGGCAGAAGCAGUGCUGUAAGGCGUUGUGGACGGAUGAGAAGUGAGAAUGUUGGCAUGAGUAGCGAAAAGGACGGUGCGAAUCCGUCCCACCGAAAGCAUAAGGAUUCCUGAGCAACGAUCGUCGUCUCAGGGUAAGUCGGGACCUAAUCCGAGGCAAGAGGCGUAGGAGAUGGACAUCCGGUUGAGAAUCCGGAACCGGCAGAGGUUGUUUGAGCAAUGGAGUGACACAGGCAGGCAGGCGCGCGCGGGAUUGGAAGUCCGUGUGCAAGCGUGUGGCGCGGGGGACAGGCAAAUCCGUCCCCCAGGAGCGUGAGGCGUGACGCGGAGCUUUCCGUGAGGAAAGCGAAGGGGCUGAGCCUAUACUGUCGAGAAAAGCUUCUAGUGAGACCGAUGCCGCCCGUACCGUAAACCGACACAGGUAUGUGGGGAGAGGAUCCUAAGGUGCGCGGGAGAACCCUCGUUAAGGAACUCGGCAAAAUGUACCCGUAACUUCGGGAUAAGGGUAGCCGCGUGUUGUGAAGUAUGUACAUAUGGAGCAGAGCGCGGCCGCAGAGAAGAGGCCCAAGCGACUGUUUACCAAAAACUUAGGUGCCUGCCAAAGCGAAAGCUGACGUAUAGGUGCUGACACCUGCCCAGUGCCGGAAGGUUAAGGAAGGAGGUUCGGAGCGAUCCAACGCCUUCGACCGAAGCCCCGGUGAACGGCGGCCGUAACUAUAACGGUCCUAAGGUAGCGAAAUUCCUUGUCGGGUAAGUUCCGACCCGCACGAAAGGUGUAACGAUUUGGGCGCUGUCUCAACGAGGGACCCGGUGAAAUUGAAAUACCUGUGAAGAUGCAGGUUACCCGCGACUGGACAGAAAGACCCCAUGGAGCUUUACUGUAACUUGACAUUGGGUUCUGAUAUGGCACGCACAGGAUAGGUGGGAGGCACGGAAGUGAGCGCUUUGGUGUUCACGGAGCCGCCGUUGGGAUACCACCCUUGCGGUAUCGGAAUUCUAACCGUACACAUAACGAGUGUCGGGACCGUGUCAGGCGGGCAGUUUGACUGGGGCGGUCGCCUC